AUCCCCUUGAGCUGCAGGGGCACAGUUGCUUCACCUUGAUGUCACCACGGCCUGCAGAGGAAUCUCAGCUCUGAGGUGUUACCAGCCUCUCUCAUUGGCCCAGUUUUGGCCAGCAGCAUGUCCAUCUUCAGAGCCAUCAGGGAUUGGCUGUGCCAGACAUAGUGGAAGCUUCCAGCAGCUUCUCACAGAAGCCACCUCAGUGGUGCCCGGGCUACAAAAACCAGGCUGCGCAAAACCAGGGAAUGUGACACUGAGUGGUGCAGUUGACACAACAGAAGGAAGGGAUGACUUGAGGUACCUCACAGAUGAAAAGCAUAACAUGAACCUAUAGUGUGCACUUAAAGCGUGGAAAGCCAAACCAAUCCUGGGGGGAUCAAAAGGGGGGUAACCAGUAUGUCAAGUGAGUCGUAGUGUCCAGCUUCUCUUGACAUUACUAUGACAAGUCCAGCUCAUUACUCUGCUGUAUUCCAGCCAGCAUGGAACUGAACCCUCUGAUGAAUAUAUCUAGACAGCAGUGAGAUGAAAGGAUAUGGAACUGCCUAGUAGGUUCACCUGUUACUGAGCAAUUUUUGACCAAUAAAGUCACCAGAGUA